rnacentral:lncRNA from 1 species
GCGGAGGUGCAGGUCCUGGUGCUUGAUGGUCGAGGCCAUCUCCUGGGCCGCCUGGCGGCCAUCGUGGCUAAACAGGUACUGCUGGGUAAGUCGCUGCUCGUGGCCCCUCUGUCAUGGGCCCCCGCUGGAGGUCAGUGAUGAGCAACAUUCACCAUCUUUCGUUUGAGUCUCACGGCCAUGAGAUCAACCCCAUGCACCGCUCUGAGACCUGCCAGCCACUCUUCCCCAGGGUUGGGGACUCCAGGCUCAAGAAGUAAUUAUGUAUUAGGCUAGUUUUUCAUUUAAACAGGAACUUAGCUCUGGCAAGUACUGCGCUGUGUCUGGAGGGUGACUGCAUAGGCAGUGGUGGGACCCUCAGGCGGCUCGGCCCUGCUAAGCCUUUCCCUCCCUCUAGGCCGGAAGGUGGUGGUCGUACGCUGUGAAGGCAUCAACAUUUCUGGCAAUUUCUACAGAAACAAGUGUAAGUUAGGACCUGGGAGGAGCACUGGAGAGGGUCUCCCUGUGGGGUGUUGAGGCUCUGAAAGCAAUUGCAGCCGUGUUGGGAGAGGCUACUUGGGGUUUCUGAGAAGGCCCUUGGAAGUGGGGUUUUGGGGGUGCUGGUAGACUGGGCAGGCCUCACACUCUCCCCUCUCCCUAGUGAAGUACCUGGCUUUCCUCCGCAAGCGGAUGAACACCAACCCUUCCCGAGGCCCCUACCACUUCCGGGCCCCCAGCCGCAUCUUCUGGCGGACCGUGCGAGGUAUGCUGCCCCACAAAACCAAGCGAGGCCAGGCCGCUCUGGACCGUCUCAAGGUGUUUGACGGCAUCCCACCGCCCUACGACAAGGUGAGCUAUGCCAAACCCCACAGGCAGCGGCCUUACCUGUGGCGUCCAUGAUGUUCCGCAACUACCUACAUUGUUUGAUCCUCAUGAAAGCAGCACUGGCUGAGACGCCAGUCCAGCCGACCUCCUUCCCUGUCUGUCCCUCCCGGGCUCUUAAGCCCCUCUCUUUCUCUAACAGAAAAAGCGGAUGGUGGUUCCUGCUGCCCUCAAGGUCGUGCGUCUGAAGCCUACAAGAAAGUUUGCCUAUCUGGGGCGCCUGGCUCACGAGGUUGGCUGGAAGUACCAGGCAGUGACAGCCACCCUGGAGGAGAAGAGGAAAGAGAAAGC